CCCCUAGAUGUUCUGGGCCGCACGCGCGCUACACUGAACAGUUCAACAAGUCUUAACCUUGGCCGAUAGGUCUGGGUAAUCUUUGAACGCUGUUCGUGAUUGGGAUAGACCUUUGCAAUUAUGGGUCUUCAACGAGGAAUUCCUAGUAAACGCAAGUCAUCAGCUUGCAUUGAUUACGUCCCUGCCCUUUGUACACCCCGCCCGUCGCACCUACCGAUUGAAUGGUCCGGUGAAAUCUCGGGACGGCGGCUUGGUCGCUUGCGUCCGACUGCUGAAACUUGAUUAAACCAUNUNAUUUAGNGGAAGGUGAANUCGUANCA
rnacentral:rRNA from 1 species